rnacentral:rRNA from 1 species
CUCAGAAUGAACGCUGGCAGCGUGCUUACACAUGCAAGUCGCACGAGAACACCUCAGCUUGCUGGGGUAAGUAAAGUGGCGCACGGGUGAGUAACGCGUGGGUAAUCUGCCCCUGAAUCUGGGAUAACGCUGCGAAAGCGGUGCUAAUACCGGAUGACAUCGAAUUGACUUCGGUUGAUUGGAUCAAAGGUAGCCACUCCAUGGAAGCUACUGUUUGGGGAUGAGCCCGCGUACCAUUAGCUUGUUGGUAGGGUAACGGCCUACCAAGGCGACGAUGGUUAGCUGGUCUGAGAGGAUGAUCAGCCACACUGGAACUGGAACACGGUCCAGACUCCUACGGGAGGCAGCAGUGAGGAAUUUUGCGCAAUGAGGGAAACCUUGACGCAGCAACGCCGCGUGAGUGAUGAAGGCUUUCGGGUCGUAAAGCUCUGUCAAGUGGGAAGAAAUCCCGGGAAGUGAACAGUUUUUCGGGUUGACGGUACCACUGAAGGAAGCACCGGCUAACUCCGUGCCAGCAGCCGCGGUAAUACGGAGGGUGCGAGCGUUAUUCGGAAUUACUGGGCAUAAAGGGCGCGCAGGCGGUCAUGUAAGUCAGAUGUGAAAGCCCGGGGCUUAACCCUGGAAGUGCAUUUGAAACUGUGUGACUUGAGUAUGGGAGAGGGAAGCGGAAUUCCUGGUGUAGCGGUGAAAUGCGUAGAUCUCAGGAGGAACACCCGUGGCGAAGGCGGCUUCCUGGACCAAUACUGACGCUGAGGCGCGAAGGCGUGGGGAGCAAACAGGAUUAGAUACCCUUGGUAGUCCACGCAGUAAACGGUGAUCACUAGGUGUAGCGGGUAUUGAUCCCUGCUGUGCCGA